rnacentral:antisense_RNA from 1 species
CUUCACCGAGCCCAGCCACAGCGGCCGGUCCUGUUCCCGCUCCUGGCCGUAGGUGGCGAGGAGCGCCUGGGCCUC